UACGUAGGGUGCGAGCGUUAAUCGGAAUUACUGGGCGUAAAGUGUGCGCAGGCGGCAGAGCAAGUCGAGUGUGAAAGCCCCGGGCUCAACCUGGGAACCGCGCUUGAGACUGGCACGCUAGAGUUCGGGAGAGGAUGGUGGAAUUCCCAGUGUAGAGGUGAAAUUCGUAGAUAUUGGGAAGAACACCGAUGGCGAAGGCAGCCAUCUGGACCGACACUGACGCUGAGGCGCGAAAGCGUGGGGAGCAAACAGG
rnacentral:rRNA from 1 species